CCGUUGGUGAACCAGCGGAGGGAUCAUUAUCGAGUUUAUAACUCCCAAACCCUAUGUGAACUUACCACUUGUUGCUUCGGCGCGCGCUUCGGUGCCGCCGAGGACACUUAAACUCUUUGUUUUUAUAAGCAUUUCUGAGUGGCCGAAAGGCAAAAUACAAAUGAAUCAAAACUUUCAACAACGGAUCUCUUGGUUCUGGCAUCGAUGAGGAACGCAGC
rnacentral:misc_RNA from 1 species